rnacentral:lncRNA from 10 species
CUGUCUUUAAGGAGCCCUCAAGGGACAGAAUUAGGAGCCUCCCAAGCUGAGACAGAUCUCAGCUACUGGCUGUAUGGAGUUGGAUGAGCUUCUUACCUGACCCCUGGGCUUCAGUUUUUCAUCUGCAAGAUGAAGUUUACCAGAGAAUGGGACAAACAGGAGAGAAGUUCCUCUGCUUUUAUGCCAGAUAAUCUUAGAUGAAUGUAUGAUGAUUUUACAAGGUGCACGGAAAGGACUGUAUUGAAU